AGCAACUUGCGGCGUCGCCUCGACGGCAUGCUGGCCCGGGCUCAGCAUGUCGUCCCACGAUGCCUCGCCGACUCUCGUCUCGGCGGUUUCGGACAUCUCCAGGCGCACAGGAAAGAUACAGGAUACAAGUCAACGCGGUUUCCCAUUCAAACAAGAAUGGGGGUCAUGCCAAUUUCCUGUGUACAACUCUCUCCCAGUUAUCGGUGGACAUUCUACAUUCCUAUGCUCGGGUUGUGCUUACCCACUAAGGAUAACCGAUACAGACUUCCCAAAAAAAGUGGUACUAAAUUAUAAAGCCCCAGAUCCAUACUGAUUAAGUCAAUGUCCGACCGGGAUUUAAAUAUACAACCAUUUUAUCUGUAAGCACAUGGUCGAAGCGGAACUAUCAAAACACAGUUUCACAAAAGCACUGUUCUGUGCAAAUAAAGUGUACAACAACACUUGUAUAUGUAAAUAACCACAAUCAUCACAAUACAUACAACACUGUGUAUUUCAUGUACACCAAAACAUCACAGAACAUAUGAACACUUUUUUUACAAAGCUUACCUUUGGCAGUGCUGAAUUGAUUAAGCCUCCUUCCAGUAACUGCAGAUAGGCAGGAAGCGGUGAUCACGAGGGUCUCCACGAGCACAUGAUCCAUGUGCAAUGUUUUAUUAAUGCAUGCUGUUUAAAUACCACUGUCCAGAAUGAAAAAAAACGUGCAGCUCUUUUUUUAUUUAAACCGGUGGGGGGGGGGGGGGCUUUUAGAUAAACCCGUAAGUGUCGUUGGUUUCUGAAAUCAGCAACAACUGGACACGAGAACGGAUUGAGAGGUGUGGCAGCAGUAGCGCUGUGUGUGCGGUUGCAACACGGCAAGUUGGUAAGGCAAGUGAAUGGGGAAGGCAGCAUGGAUAAUCACACGUGUGAGGUUACCACAAACCAGACCGCCCGUUGCCACUCCUUCUUCAUGAACUCCUCCCCGCCAGUAGUCCAUGGGCCAGAACAGAAAUUGGUACCACCUAAAGUAGCUCAACUUUAUACGUACUGUACCAGUCUAUGUCUAUGGCUAAUAGUGAAUUAUUAUUAGCACUCUUGGCCGCGAAAUGAAUUCAAAAUUUUUACAUGCAUUUGAUAACCCACUCAUUUCAAAUGGUUUUAACAUAAUUCACUGUUGUUGGCCACAUUAGGAAAUUAGAACCGCUCAUGUUAUGUCACCUCAGGUGGUACCGACAAGUGAAAUAUCUGGUCUGGGCUCAUGGACUAAAAAGGAACUGACAUGCAAAAGGCCAGGCCUAUUUGUUAUGUCUAUGGACGAUACAGCUUUGAGCCUGCAUGUUGCUUCGAUAGGUGACCACCAUGCAUAAAACACGUGUCAGGGUGCUGUGGGGCAAUGGGUUAUGCUUAGAUUUUUUGGUGAAUAGGAUCAUCUGCCAAUAAAUAAAUAAUUAGUUACAACAUAACUGCUCUAAUACUUUGAAACUAUGGUACAUUUGCAGAAAUGUCACAGUACUGUACUAGAUUAAUUGUUGAUUUGUAACAAUCGUUAAGCACUGACUUCUGUGUUUUUCAUCAAAUCAUAGAGUGUAAUGUCGUAAUUGUUGAGAUGUAUAGGAUGGGCUACGUGAUGGGCAGAAGAUGGUAGUACAGUAAAACCAGUUGUACUGUAUUGUGCUCCAACAUCUAUGCUCCCCGCUUUCACCAACCAAUACUGAUCUACGUGGUGAAGUAUAGUCAAAUAAUCUCCAUGAAUCACAUAGAGUGGAGAAGCCCGAAUCUACGUGGGAUUGACAAAAGGGCUAUACGGGUAUACGUUCAAAAUGUUCCCAAGGUGUUUUAUGCAACUGGUUAGCAAAUCAAAGCCGCUUUUUGUGUUUAGUUUGUUGCCCUUUCUCCGCACCUCCGAUUAGAAUGGUUGGGUACGUACGGUGGGAAAGAAGUUCAACAAAUAAUGCCAAAGCAAGGUGAAGACUGCGGACUAUAUCUCAGCUAGGCUGUUUUCCCCCAGCGAGGUCUAUGCACACACAUUGUGAACCUCUUUGUGAGUUAUAUAAACGUGUAAUUAAAGCCAAGACUACACGAGUACAAGCAAUCCUAAUUGCUGAUGAAGUUGUGUAACUUUCUGAAUUUCACAGGAUAGUAUUUUUUUCCCGUUUGUUAAGAUUUAAGAGCUUGAUGACUAGGUUGUACAAAUUUAAUUAGAUUUACUGGACCAAUAGAUGUUUUAGCGUCUGGUGAAUCUGAAGUUACAUGAAGGAAGAAUGUAAGCUUAAGAUGGACAAGGCAACACCACUCAAGGCUGAUUCAUACAUUUUUUUAAACUUCAUAAACAGUCCAUACAUUUAAUCAAGGUCACGUUGCCCUUGUGUUUUUUGUACAAAACCACCUGUUGCAAUAUACAUAAUUUAGCUAGAAUUUGUAACACUUGUUAUAUGUAUGUCAAUAUGCCUAUCUUGCAAUUGUAACCCAAGUGAAUAAUAAAUAGUGUUUGUUAAGAUAUGCUGAAGGUCAGAAGCUUACAAUGCGUUUCUGUUUGCAUUGAGGUCGCUGUAAUUAAGCAGAACCAUGCUGAAAGGUGCCUUCAUGUUCACGAUAGCUAAUAUUGCUUUGGUACAAUAGUCAAACUGUUCAUUGCCAUAGGUACCACUUAUCCUCCCAACAAUGCCCCAUACAAAUCGUAAAAUUGCAUUUAUUUACCUUUUUAAUGGAAAAGUAAAAACUCCCCAAUGUGCAACUGUGGCCAUCCAGAACAGUCCAUACAACAUAUAACGACACAAUGCCUGAUUCACCAAUACGAUGGAGACAUUACAGCGAUACACGUUGCUACUCCGGACGCGGUUAUCUGGCUUGACCACCUGAAUUUUAAAUUGUUAUUGUUGCUCUGUAUCGACAUCAGCCAUAUGAAAGAAUAAAAGAUUUAUUCUAGA